rnacentral:misc_RNA from 1 species
UGGCAGGAUCAACCAGGUAGCAUUCCAUGUCGACUUUUGGCAUUGUAUGGACAAAACCAACACAACACCAAUUGUCGUUUGCGCAUAGCGUGGGACACUUUUUAGGGGCAAAUAGAGACAGAUGAUUGCCUCGUACCCAUGGGGUACUCCGUGACCGAGAGAACAAGCAUGACGUCAUUUGAUCCAACAACCCACAACAACAUUGAAGCAACGGUGGUUGGAGCAUGACAUUUGCUUCGAAGUUCCCCUCCUACCACAAACCCGAGGGCUCGCAGUGAAAGGUGAAUAGGGCCUUUAAUCCAACGAAUUCCCACACUUUGGGUUAUAUAACACAGGAGACCAAUCGCGGCCAAGAUUUUCUUUCACAGUCUUGAACCAAUCACUGAAAAGGCAUGCCGGAUACAUUUUCGC